CACAUGAACACCGAUAAGUUGAACGCAUAUGGCACAUCGUGCGACACAGCUCGAUGUACAUAUCUUUGAGCGUCCAUGUUUACUUCACAUAUCCAACUACGUGUGCGAUGUUGGCGAUCGCGUCCCGCUUUUGCCCCGCGUACUACGUGCAUAAUGGCGUAACAGCUCCGCAAGGACUGUUGCGCUUAAAACCGUGAAGUGUGUGCUACCCUGCAACUCGGUCGCUUCGUUAGCAAUCGUGCUUCAACACUCCACCAUCGCCCUCAGUGCUUUGCGCUAGUGUUGAUUCGUUUGCAGACACGAACACUACGAAACGCAGGUAAAACACCUUCACACACCACGUAUGUGGAAGAGAUGGGCCUUGGCAACAAACCUAUCUUCUUCAGUGAACGCUUCGGACUGCGGAGCAAUGGACCUCAAAUGAUGUGUGACUACCC
rnacentral:rRNA from 1 species